rnacentral:rRNA from 1 species
UACAUGGGGUGCAAACGUUGCUCGGAAUUAUUGGGCGUAAAGCGCACGUAGGCGGUUUGUUAAGUCGGAUGUGAAAUCCCUCGGCUCAACUGAGGAAGUGCAUCCGAAACUGGCAAGCUUGAGUACGAAAGAGGGUCGCGGAAUUCCCGGUGUAGAGGUGAAAUUCGUAGAUAUCGGGAGGAACACCGGUGGCGAAGGCGGCGACCUGGGUCGAUACUGACGCUGAGGCGCGAAAGCGUGGGGAGCAAACAGG